rnacentral:rRNA from 1 species
UGGGGAAUAUUGCACAAUGGGCGCAAGCCUGAUGCAGCAACGCCGCGUGAACGAUGAAGGUCUUCGGAUCGUAAAGUUCUGUUGCAGGGGAAGAUAAUGACGGUACCCUGUGAGGAAGCCCCGGCUAACUACGUGCCAGCAGCCGCGGUAAUACGUAGGGGGCUAGCGUUAUCCGGAUUUACUGGGCGUAAAGGGUGCGUAGGUGGUCUUUCAAGUCGGUGGUUAAAGGCUACGGCUCAACCGUAGUUAGCCUCCGAAACUGGAAGACUUGAGUGCAGGAGAGGAAAGUGGAAUUCCCAGUGUAGCGGUGAAAUGCGUAGAUAUUGGGAGGAACACCAGUAGCGAAGGCGGCUUUCUGGACUGCAACUGACACUGAGGCACGAAAGCGUGGGUAGCGAACAGG